UAAGCCAUGCAAGUCAUAUGUUCCUCGUGAACAUGGCAUACUGCUCAGUAACACGUGGAUAACCUGCCCUUGGGUCUGGGAUAACCCCGGGAAACUGGGGAUAAUAUCGGAUAACGCAUAUGUGCUGGAAUGCUUUAUGCGUAAAACGGAUUCGUCCGCCCAAGGAUGGGUCUGCGGCCUAUCAGGUAGUAGUGGGUGUAAUGUACCUACUAGCCAACAACGGGUACGGGUUGUGAGAGCAAGAGCCCGGAGAUGGAUUCUGAGACAUGAAUCCAGGCCCUACGGGGCGCAGCAGGCGCGAAAACUUUACAAUGCGGGCAACCGUGAUAAGGGAACCUCGAGUGCCUGUAAAUGCAGGCUGUUCAGAUGCCUAAAACACAUCUGGAGAAAGGGCCGGGCAAGACCGGUGCCAGCCGCCGCGGUAAUACCGGCGGCUCGAGUGGUGGCCACUUUUAUUGGGCUUAAAGCGUUCGUAGCUGGGUUGUUAAGUCUCUUGGGAAAUCUGGCGGCUUAACCGUCAGGCGUCUAAGGGAUACUGGCAAUCUUGGAACCGGGAGAGGUGAGGGGUACUUCGGGGGUAGGAGUGAAAUCCUGUAAUCCUCGAGGGACCACCUGUGGCGAAGGCGCCUCACCAGAACGGCUUCGACAGUGAGGGACGAAAGCUGGGGGAGCAAACCGGAUUAGAUACCCGGGUAGUCCCAGCCGUAAACUAUGCUCGCUAGGUGUCAGGCAUGGCGCGACCGUGUCUGGUGCCGCAGGGAAGCCGUGAAGCGAGCCACCUGGGAAGUACGGCCGCAAGGCCGAAACUUAAAGGAAUUGGCGGGGGAGCACAACAACGGGUGGAGCCUGCGGUUUAAUUGGACUCAACGCCGGACAACUCACCGGGGACGACAGCAAUAUGUAGGCCAGGCUGAAGACCUUGCCUGAAUCGCUGAGAGGAGGUGCAUGGCCGUCGCCAGUUCGUACUGUGAAGCAUCCUGUUAAGUCAGGCAACGAGCGAGACCCA
rnacentral:rRNA from 1 species